UACAGACAAACCGGUCUCAUUGUGGUAAAAUUUAUUUGGUCUUAUUGAUGCCAUUGGAAUAGUCCUCCUACCAUCCUGUACCACUGUUCCACAUUGUUAUUAAAGAUUUUCUUCAUUUAUUUAGGUAAUAUUAGUUUGGUCUUGUUGAUGCCAUUGGAAAAGUCCUUCUACCAUCUUGUACCAUUGUUCCACAUUGUCAUCAAAGGAUUUCCUUCAGUGAUUUAGGCAAAAUUAAUUUGGGCCUGUUGAUGCCAUAGGAAAAGUCCUCCUACCAUCCUGUACCAUUGUUCAAAACUCUCUUGAAAGAUUUCCUUCAUUGAUUUAGGUGUUUCAGGUAAAAUUAGUUUGGUCUUGUUGAUGCCAUUGGAAAAGUCCUCCUACCAUCCUGUACCACUGUUCCACACUGUCAUUAAAAGAUAUCUUUCAUUGAUUUAGAAAAUUCCAUUGGAAAGGAAAAGUUGGGGUCAUUGUUGGAACUAUAAAGUAUACAAGAUACAGCUUUUAAGAAACAGGACAUCAUGGAAAGUUUUAAUGAGAAACUAGGUAAAGCUGCUUGGAAAGGAAGAUUAAAAGAUUUGAAAAGAUGCAUACAAAAGGGGGCAGAUUUGGAAUAUAUAGAUAGUAAUGGUAUGACACCAUUGUUGUAUGCAGCACAGGAAGGACACCUGGAGAUCCUCCGUUAUCUGGUUACAGUCGGCUGUGAUAAAGAAAUGAGAGACACCAAGUAUGGAUCCACACCAUUAUUGAAAGCAGCACACAAUGGACACCUAGAGAUAGUCCGUUAUCUGGUUACAGUCGGCUGUGAAAAAGAAGCCAGAAACAAAGAUGGUAUGACACCAUUGUUGUAUGCAGCACAGGAAGGACACCUGGAGAUCCUCCGUUAUCUGGUUACAGUCGGCUGUGAAAAAGAAGCGAGAGACA